rnacentral:rRNA from 1 species
GACGAACGCUGGCGGCGUGCUUAACACAUGCAAGUCGAGCGGUAAGGCCCUUUCGGGGGUACGACGAGCGGCGAACGGGUGAGUAACACGUGGGUGACCUGCCCUCAGCUCUGGGAUAAGCCUGGGAAACCGGGUCUAAUACCGGAUAUGACUCCAUGACGCAUGUUGUGGGGUGGAAAGCCUUGUGCGGCUGAGGAUGGGCCCGCGGCCUAUCAGCUUGUUGGUGGGGUGAUGGCCUACCAAGGCGACGACGGGUAGCCGGCCUGAGAGGGCGACCGGCCACACUGGGACUGAGACACGGCCCAGACUCCUACGGGAGGCAGCAGUGGGAAUCUUGCGCAAUGGGCGAAAGCCUGACGCAGCGACGCCGCGUGAGGGAUGACGGCCU